AGAAUCAACGCUGGCGGCGUGCCUAACACAUGCAAGUCGAACGAGAAAGUGGAGCAAUCCAUGAGUAAAGUGGCGCACGGGUGAGUAACACGUGACUAACCUACCCUUGAGUGGGGGAUAACCUAGAGAAAUCUGGGCUAAUACCGCAUAAUACCUUCGGGUCAAAGGAGCAAUUCGCUUGAAGAGGGGUCGCGGCAGAUUAGUUAGUUGGCGGGGUAAUGGCCCACCAAGACGAUGAUCUGUA
rnacentral:rRNA from 1 species